AGAUCUUGAGGAGCACAAGGGUGAGCUCUUGCGUGCCAUAAAAAUCGAGAAGGCUACUGGCCCGGAUCUUGAGGAGCACAAGGGUGCUAGUGAGCUCCAUGUGGAACCACCAAAGUGCAAGAAAAGUAAGCGAAGUAGGCAGAGUAGCGGCGAGCUUCAUGCGGAACACCAAGAAACGAACAAAGUCUUUAUUUAUGCAUAACUGCCCACUUUAUUGAUGGCUCAUGGACUCUACAAAACAGAAUAAUCAGAUUUUGCCUCUUGGAAACUCUGCACAACGCUCAUAACAUGUUUGACAUGGUGCAAGAUAGCUUGAGAGAUUGGAAAAUUGAAGACAAAAUCUUUAGCUUUACCCUAGACAAUGCACCAGUUAAUACCUUGAUGGUUGGCCACUUGAGAAUUUUUUUGGCAGAUAGGUAUCUUCUUGGAAUCCUGCCUUUUUUGCCGUCAAAUGCUUGUGAUCUCUUGAGCUUGCUGUACUACUUGUUAUAGUAACCCACAUUUCGUGCUUCCAUUGAUGCCAUCCAUUGUAGUUUCUUGCUGUACUUAUGUAUUUGCUCUGUUAAUUCAGAAUUCAGAUAGGAUUCAGAUAGGCUUCAGUUAUGAAUUCAGAAUUCAGAUAGUUUUUUUGGCAGGCAGAAGGUGGAGCCUGAGGACAAGGAGGAGACCCGGGGGGCGAAGCCAGAAGCGGCACCGGCGGCAGCUGAGACUCAGUGAAGGCUUGUCCUGAGCUCGUGAUCGUCUUCCAUGAACCAACCUGAAGCUUCAUUCACUGAGAGUUGCGAGGUCUUAUCAGCUUAGAGUUUUUAUUUUCUCUUUGUCCUUGUGAGUUCACUGAGAUUUUUAAUGGGACUACCACUGAGAGUUGUGAGCUUCAUUCACUGAGAGUCGCUAUAAGUUGAAAAUAAGCUUGUAUCUGUGGCGGCCGCUUCCACAAAGUUCUAUUAAUAUGUUGAUGCACUAUUACCUUAUUCAAAUUCCAAUCAAGAUUUGCUUGUCCAGUUUAUAUGUUAAGUGGGAUCCCACUUAUUCCCACCUAAUAUGUGCUAGUUUUGAUGGGACUACCACUUCUUUUCCACCAAGCCAUGUUGGGACUAGGUGGAUCAAGGUGGGAUUCCCAGGAACCGUCCCACUUGC
rnacentral:lncRNA from 1 species